GGAGACAAUCGGAUCGCUCCUCAUUUUUUGUCCUAACCUAGAGCCGUUUCCAUCAUCUUCAACAAGACAAAAACAACCGCCUUUAUCAAAAAAGAGGAGGACCCCUCACAAAAAGAACCUGAAGCAGCUGAAACUUUCCCCCUUUUUGAUCUUCUUUAAUCUUCGACAUUAACACUCUUCAAAAACGGCAAAUCCAUUCUUGCUAAAAGUCGGUCGAAUCCCUCAUUUCUUGAAUGUGGACACACUUCCAACUUUUCAAAAGAAAAAGGACUCAAAAAAAGGCAUCGUUCACUUCACUAAUAUCUCGAAUCUGAGAUUUCGACUCCAAUGUGACGACUAUUAUGUUUCUUUCCUUCAAUUUCGACUUUUUGCUUCCAAAUAGAUUUGAGUUUGAGGCAUCCGGGUUUGAGCUUUUCGUUUGAUAUUUGCGAAAGCUUCUUGUGAGCUGUUUCUGGAUUAAAGUCGAGUAUGACAUUGCUCUGUUGCUGCUGUUUGCUAUCAAAAUCGUAGCUGGACUUCUUUCAUCUCCAUUUCUACAUUUUAUUAGUAGUUUCAAGCUCUAUUUGGUAAUUAUUUUAGGUAUACAUUCUCGAGCCUGUAC
rnacentral:lncRNA from 1 species